rnacentral:rRNA from 1 species
UUGUGGGGGGGGGUUACCCCGGGAACUGGGGAUAAUACCCCAUAGACUAUGGAUGCUGGAAUGCUCUGUAGUUGAAAGGUCCGCCGCCAUAGGAUGGGUCUGCGGCCGAUUAGGUUGUUGUUGGGGUAACGGCCCAACAAGCCUGUAAUCGGUACGGGUUGUGGGAGCAAGAGCCCGGAGAUGGAUUCUGAGACACGAAUCCAGGCCCUACGGGGCGCAGCAGGCGCGAAAACUUUACAAUGCGGGAAACCGUGAUAAGGGAACUCCGAGUGCCCGUAAAAUCGGGCUGUCCAUCUGUUUAAAUAACAGGUGAAGAAAGGGCCGGGCAAGACCGGUGCCAGCCGCCGCGGUAAUGCCGGCGGCUCGAGUGGUGGCCACUAUUACUGGGCUUAAAGCGUUCGUAGCUGGUUUGUUAAGUCUCUGGGGAAAUCUGCCGGCUCAACCGGCAGGCGUUCCAGGGAUACUGGCAGACUAGGGACCGGGAGAGGUGAGGGGUACUCCAGGGGUAGGAGUGAAAUCCUGUAAUCCUUGGGGGACCACCUGUGGCGAAGGCGCCUCACCAGAACGGCUCCGACAGUGAGGGACGAAAGCUGGGGGAGCAAACCGGAUUAGAUACCCGGGUAGUCCCAGCCGUAAACGAUGCGCGUUAGGUGUAUCGGUGACCACGAGUCACCGAGGUGCCGAAGAGAAAUCGUGAAACGUGCCGCCUGGGAAGUACGGUCGCAAGGCUGAAACUUAAAGGAAUUGGCGGGGGAGCAC